CACCAACAAUGGAAAAAAUACACUUUAUAUUGUCCCUCUCCAAGAAAAAAUUGAUACUACACCUCUUCCACAUGAUGCUGCAGAAUUCAGCAAAAUGCCGAAGUCUCAGUGCAAGACCUGUGGUGUGACUAUGCCUCUUCAGCUACUUGUUUGUCACGUAGAAAACUGUGUACAAGAAGCUGCGUGUGAAAGCAUGACUGACCAGGCACAUCAGAAUGAAGUCCAAUUGGAGCCUUCUUGUCCUGUUUGUGGA